GAUGAACGCUGGCGGCGUGCCUAAUACAUGCAAGUCGAGCGAACAGACGAGGAGCUUGCUCCUCUGACGUUAGCGGCGGACGGGUGAGUAACACGUGGAUAACCUACCUAUAAGACUGGGAUAACUUCGGGAAACCGGAGCUAAUACCGGAUAAUAUAUUGAACCGCAUGGUUCAAUAGUGAAAGACGGUUUUGCUGUCACUUAUAGAUGGAUCCGCGCCGCAUUAGCUAGUUGGUAAGGUAACGGCUUACCAAGGCAACGAUGCGUAGCCGACCUGAGAGGGUGAUCGGCCACCCUGGAACCUAGACACGGUCCAGACUCCUAAGGGAGGCAGCAGUAGGGAAUCUUCCGGAAUGGGCGAAAGCCUGACGGAGCAACGCCGCGUGAGUGAUGAAGGUCUUCGGAUCGUAAAACUCUGUUAUUAGGGAAGAACAAAUGUGUAAGUAACUAUGCACGUCUUGACGGUACCUAAUCAGAAAACCACGGCUAAAUACGUG
rnacentral:rRNA from 1 species